AUUGAACGCUGGCGGCAGGCCUAACACAUGCAAGUCGAGCGGAGCGGCGGACGGGUGAGUAAUGCCUAGUAAUCUGACUGGUAGUGGGGGAUAACGUCCGGCAACGGGCGCUAAUACCGCAUACUAUCAGAUGAGACUAGGUCGGAUUAGCUAGUUGGUGGGGUAAAGGCCUACAAAGGCGACGAUCCGUAACUGGUCUGAUAGGAUGAUCAGUCACACUUGAACGUAGACACGGUCCAGACUCCUACGGGAGGAAGCAGUGGGGAAUAAUGGACAAUGGGCGAAAGCCUGGUCCAGCCAUGCCGCGUGUGUGAAGAAGGUCUGCGGAUUGUAAAGCACUUUAAGUUGGGAGGCGUUACCAACAGAAGAAGCACCGGCUAACUUCGUGCCAGCCGCCGCGGUAAUUC
rnacentral:rRNA from 1 species